UGGGGAAUAUUGGACAAUGGGGGCAACCCUGAUCCAGCGAUGCCGCGUGAGUGAAGAAGGCCUUCGGGUCGUAAAGCUCUUUAGGUUGGGAAGAAGGAUAGAUGAUGAAAUGCAUCUAUUUUGACGGUACCGACAGAAUAAGCACCGGCAAACUCUGUGCCAGCAGCCGCGGUAAUACAGAGGGUGCGAGCGUUAAUCGGAAUUACUGGGCGUAAAGGGCGCGUAGGCGGUUUUGUAAGUGUGAUGUGAAAGCCCCGGGCUUAACCUGGGAAGUGCAUCGCAAACGAUGAAACUGGAGUAUAUGAGAGGGUGGCGGAAUUUCCGGUGUAGCGGUGAAAUGCGUAGAGAUCGGAAGGAACGUCGAUGGCGAAGGCAGCCACCUGGCAUAAUACUGACGCUGAGGCGCGAAAGCGUGGGUAGCGAACAGGAUUAGAUACCCUGGUAGUCCACGCUGUAAACGAUGAGGACUAGAUGUUGGUAGGGGAACCUAUCAGUAUCGAAGCUAACGCGAUAAGUCUUCCGCCUGGGAAGUACGGCCGCAAGGUUGA
rnacentral:rRNA from 1 species